GCCCUAGUGGUGCAACAGUUAAGCACUUGGCUGCUAACCAAAAGGUUGGCAGUUCGAAUCUGCUCAGUGGCU
rnacentral:tRNA from 1 species